UAUAUAUCAAGUUCAGUACGUGGAGUUCGAUUGGUAUGACGAUUGUAGAUAAAUAAAUGCACUGGCGGAGCCAGAAAAUCAAAUUAGGAAAGGCCUUUAAAUCAUGGAAAGAAAUUAGCCUUUGAAAUAUAACUAAUGAAGAAAAAUCAAGUGUUUUGUUUUUUCUAUUUGCAUGGAAAAAAAUUCUAAUCAAACAAGAAUGGUGGAGCUUUACAUUUUGUAUGAAAAAAACUUAGUACUGAAAUGAUUCUAUCAUAAGAAUAAAACUUGUUUAUAAGCUUGGAUGAAAAAAAAAAAAAAAAUUAGAUUCAAACAAAAAAUUAAGAUCAUAACUUAAAAUUAGAUUUUGCCCUAGACUAUAUAGGCCUUUGAUUCAUAUUGACUGGCCAAAAUAAAGGGUAGAUUUGUCUAUAUCAAAAUAUAAGGCUAAUUAUCACUACAAGAAAACAUGGAUUAAGUGACCGAAUUUUUUGUGGCUUGUGAAAAUUCAUCACAUAGAGGUAAAACAAGUGACACUUUUUUAAAAAUCGUCACUUUAAGAUUUUUGCAGGACACCAAAAUAUUUUGCGCUACUUAUACUUCUGGAUUCACCACAAAAAAGUGGGCGGGCAAGUUUACCGUCAAACGAAAUUUUAUUAAGUGACACAAUGUUAAAUUCAUCACAUAAGAAGAGGGAAGGCCACCUAGUCAUUCCUCACAUAUAAUAUUGAAUUAAAAAUACAAAAAUAUAGAUGCAAUUAUCAAAACCCCCAAAUAACAAAACCUAUCCAUUUAUUCUCAUUUCUUCCCAAUCUUCAGCACCCUUUCGUCUACUCCUUCACCCUAACUUCGACGACUAGGUACUUGGUGGUUGCCAGCUGCGACGGCAACUACCACCUCUCCUUCGUCUCCCUCGCUCAGCCAUUCUCCCACCCUUUGAUUCUCGUUCACUAACUCUCUUAUCUCUCUGACAUAACGAGAUCAAAUUGAGGAAAAAGAAGUUCGAAUUUUUCUCAAGUUCUUUCAGUUCACAACAAGGUCUGGAGCUAUGUGCUGAAGCAAGGAACAUAGCGGAUCCUUAUUGCAAAUCAAAUCAAGACUGCUUGGAUUGGUGCGGCAUUUGCAAAACUUGCCAAUGCUUGAAUAGGCAGUGUUUUUGCACCAGAUCCGAGUCUGGGCCGCUGAUCCCGAUUUCUUCAAUUCUGGCCAUGAACUGAAAUUCCAGACAACAUGUAUUGUCUUCAAGCGUUUAUGCGUCUUGAAUAAAGCAUCUUAUCCAACUGAAAAAUAAAAUAAGAGCUGAGUUUGUUGCCCUAGUUCAAUAAACUUGUAAGCCCUAGAGAUGAAUAAUAUUUGAUAAAUUAUGUCUCUCCUCUUCUAUAAUUGUAAACAUGAUAGGUUAAACUAUCAAUUUAAAUAAUCUUUGUUACA